UGUCCUACGGGACGCAGCAGUGGGGAAUAUUGCACAAUGGGGGAAACCCUGAUGCAGCGACGCCGCGUGAGCGAAGAAGUACCUCGGUAUGUAAAGCUCUAUCAGCAGGGAAGAAGAUGACGGUACCUCUUGAAUAAGCCACGGCUAACUACGUGCCAGCAGCCGCGGUAAUACGUAGGUGGCAAGCGUUGUCCGGAUUUACUGGGUGUAAAGGGCGUGCAGCCGGGAAGACAAGUCAGAUGUGAAAUCCCGCGGCUCAACCGCGGAACUGCAUUUGAAACUGUUUUUCUUGAGUAGAGGAGAGG
rnacentral:rRNA from 1 species